rnacentral:sRNA from 1 species
CUUUAGCAGAUUGGUGCAAAAGCGAUAGUAGCGGCAUCCUUUUUUUGCUGCCAUAAAUGGCAAAAAAAGACCUGCCUUCCGGCAGGCAGGUAUAGCGGAUAGCGCGGUGGCUU